rnacentral:rRNA from 1 species
ACGCGAAAGGCCCCUUCGGGGGCCGAGUAGAGUGGCGCACGGGUGAGUAACACGUAGGUAAUCUACCUCUGAGUGGGGAAUAACAGCCGGAAACGGCUGCUAAUACCGCAUAACGCAGCGGCACCACAUGGUGACAGUUGUUAAAGCGGGGGAUCUUCGGACCUCGCGCUUGGAGAGGAGCCUGCGGCGGAUUAGCUAGUUGGUGGGGUAACGGCUCACCAAGGCAACGAUCCGUAGCCGGCCUGAGAGGGCGGUCGGCCACACUGGCACUGACAUACGGGCCAGACUCCUACGGGAGGCAGCAGUCGGGAAUUUUGGGCAAUGGGCGAAAGCCUGACCCAGCAACGCCGCGUGGAGGAUGAAGUUUCUCGGAAUGUAAACUCCGUAAGAAUGGGACGAAUAAGGAGGGGUCAAUACCCCCUCUGAUGACGGUACCAUUCGUAAGCUCCGGCUAACUCCGUGCCAGCAGCCGCGGUAAUACGGGGGGAGCAAGCGUUG